UACGGAGGGUCCAAGCGUUAUCCGGAAUCACUGGGUUUAAAGGGUGCGUAGGUGGAUUAAUAAGUCAGAGGUGAAAUCCCAUAGCUCAACUAUGGAACUGCCUUUGAAACUGUUAGUCUUGAAUAUAUUGGAAGUGGGCGGAAUGAGUCAUGUAGCGGUGAAAUGCGUAGAUAUGACUCAGAACACCGAUUGCGAAGGCAGCUCACUAUGAUAUUAUUGACACUGAGGCACGAAAGCGUGGGUAGCGAACAGG
rnacentral:rRNA from 1 species